rnacentral:rRNA from 1 species
AGAAUCAACGCUGGCGGCGUGCCUCAGACAUGCAAGUCGAACGCGAAAGUCCCCUUCGGGGGGCAAGUAGAGUGGCGCACGGGUGAGUAACACGUAGGUAAUCUACCUUUGGAUGGGGAAUAACAACCGGAAACGGUUGCUAAUACCGCAUAAUGCAGCGGCACCUAAUGGUGACACUUGUUAAAGCGGGGGAUCGAAAGACCUCGCGUCUGAAGAGGAGCCUGCGGCGGAUUAGCUAGUUGGUAAGGUAAUGGCUUACCAAGGCUACGAUCC